AACGAAGGACGCAAGCGUUAUCCGGAGCUACUGGGCGUAAAGCGCGUGCAGGCGGUUCUGCAAGUCUGAUGGGAAAUCUCCUCGCUCAACGGGGAGCAGCCAUUGGAAACUACAGAACUGGAGUCUGGCAGAGGUAGGCGGAAUUCCGGGUGGAGUGGUGAAAUGCGUAGAGAUCCGGAGGAACACCAGAGGCGAAGGCGGCCUACUGGGCCAGUACUGACGCUGAGCCGCGAAAGCCAGGGGAGCGAACGGG
rnacentral:rRNA from 1 species